UACGUAGGGUGCAAGCGUUGUCCGGAAUUAUUGGGCGUAAAGAGCUCGUAGGCGGUUUGUCGCGUCUGCUGUGAAAACCCGAGGCUCAACCUCGGGCCUGCAGUGGGUACGGGCUGGCUGGAGGCAGGCAGGGGAGAACGGAAUUCCCGGUGUAGCGGUGAAAUGCGCAGAUAUCGGGAGGAACACCGGUGGCGAAGGCGGGUCUCUGGGCCGAUACUGACGCUGAGGAGCGAAAGCAUGGGUAGCGAACAGG
rnacentral:rRNA from 1 species